rnacentral:rRNA from 1 species
GACGAACGCUGGCGGCGUGCUUAACACAUGCAAGUCGAACGGAAAGGCCCUGCUUUUGUGGGGUGCUCGAGUGGCGAACGGGUGAGUAACACGUGAGUAACCUGCCCUUACUUUGGGAUAACUUCAGGAAACUGGGGCUAAUACCGGAUAGGAGCUCCUGCUGCAUGGUGGGGGUUGGAAAGUUUCGGCGGUUGGGGAUGGACUCGCGGCUUAUCAUCUUGUUGGUUGGGUAGUGGCUUACCAAGGCUUUGGCGGGUAGCCGGCCUGAGAGGGUGACCGGCCACGUUGGGACUGAGAUACGGCCCAGACUCCUACGGGAGGCAGCAGUGGGGAAUAUUGCACAAUGGGCGGAAGCCUGAUGCAGCAACGCCGCGUGCGGGAUGACGGCCUUCGGGUUGUAAACCGCUUUCGCCUGUGACGAAGCGUGAGUGACGGUAAUGGGUAAAGAAGCACCGGCUAACUACGUG